UGAGCUUACAAGUUAUGCUAGCUAAGAUUAGAGAUACAAACUUAUAUACAAUCCCAAAUUUUAACCAAGCAUAGUAGUUUUACAACCUAUCAUUUUGCCCAUGUUUAGAAUAUGUUACUGUAUGGGUUAGUUUUGUAUACACUGAUAAUGAUGAGUUGAUGUUUCAAGUGUUUAAAGUUAUGAUCAUGAAACAAUUUGCAACCUAUCAUGUCUCUGUUUAAUGGUUAUUCCAUUUGUGAAGUUGGCAAGGAUGCAACUGGUAUUGCUGGUACUUAUUCUUUCUCUAUGUGUCAUGGAUAUUUUUAUCACAUGGAUGCAGCUGGUAUUGCUGAUACUUUUUCUUUCCCCAAUCUUUUCAGUUUGUGUACAUUGUUCUGUUCUUAGUGUAUGCUGAGAAAGCAAGAAAGGUGAGAAUGUUUGGAUUAUUGCUGGCAGUUUUGGGAAUAUGUGGGAUCAUACUAGUUGGGAGUUUGAAAAUAACCUAUAGUUCCAUGCGCCGAAUGUUUGUUGGAUUCUUGAGUUGUGCUUCUCUGAUUUCAAUGUUUGCCUCUCCAUUGUUUAUAAUCAAAUUGGUCAUUCGCACGAAGAGUCUCGAGUUUAUGCCAUUUUGUCUUUCGCUUUCCACAUUCCUAAUAAGCGCCUCAUUCCUUCUUUAUGGGUUGCUCAGUGAUGAUGCUUUCUUUUAUGUACCAAAUGAGAUAGGUACUGUUUUGGCAAUCAUACAAUUGGUAUUGUGUUUGAUAUCUAGUAAUGAAUCUAGAGACACCUUGAUAAUGUCAUGUGGAUAAUCUACAUUGCUGAGAUCUGACAAAAGCAAAGGAAUUUUUCAGAGUUAGAUUCACUGAUUUUGGAUCUCAUUUGAGUGUUGUUGUUCAUUUUCACUUGGCGUAAGACAGAUACAAUGAUAACUGAAGUUGAUAUGUUGAAGGAGCAAAUUGCUUUCUUGAUGCAAAUGCAAAAUUCUAGAAACAAACAGGCAAUGGACAUAAAAUCGCCAAUAGAUGGUAGACAUUCAUCUGAGUCCAGCCACCAACUUGAUGAUCGUGGAACAACAUCAUUAGGGACUAAUUAGAUAUUUGGAUGAACUUCUAAGUUUGAUGGAGUUGUUUUUUUGUAUUGUUAGCUACUCCACUAAUUAAUGUUUUGAAUAUUUAAACUAUUUUAUUUAUUGUAAUAGUUAACUUCAAUGUAUGAA